rnacentral:rRNA from 1 species
GAUGAACGCUGGCGGCGUGCCUAAUACAUGCAAGUCGAGCGAACAGACGAGGAGCUUGCUCCUCUGACGUUAGCGGCGGACGGGUGAGUAACACGUGGAUAACCUACCUAUAAGACUGGGAUAACUUCGGGAAACCGGAGCUAAUACCGGAUAAUAUAUUGAACCGCAUGGUUCAAUAGUGAAAGACGGUUUUGCUGUCACUUAUAGAUGGAUCCGCGCCGCAUUAGCUAGUUGGUAAGGUAACGGCUUACCAAGGCAACGAUGCGUAGCCGACCUGAGAGGGUGAUCGGCCACACUGGAACUGAGACACGGUCCAGACUCCUACGGGAGGCAGCAGUAGGGAAUCUUCCGCAAUGGGCGAAAGCCUGACGGAGCAACGCCGCGUGAGUGAUGAAGGUCUUCGGAUCGUAAACCUCUGUUAUUAGGGAGGAACAAAUGUGUAAGUAACUAUGCACGUCUUGACGGUACCUAAUCAGAAAGCCACGGCUAACUACGUG